rnacentral:misc_RNA from 1 species
UCCGGCUUAUCACCGGCAGUCUCCCUAGAGUGCCCAACUGAAUGAUGGCAACUAAGGACGAGGGUUGCGCUCGUUGCGGGACUUAACCCAACAUCUCACGACACGAGCUGACGACAGCCAUGCAGCACCUGUGCACGGACUCCGAAGAGGGGCCGAUGUUUCUACCGGCUUUCCCGUGCAUGUCAAGCCCAGCUAAGGUUCUUCGCGUUGCAUCGAAUUGAGCCACAUACUCCACCGCUUGUGCAGGCCCCCGUCAAUUUCUUUGAGUUUUAAUCUUGCGACCGUACUUCCCAGGCGGCACGUUUAACGCGUUAGCUACGCCGCAAAAGGGGUCGAUUCCUUUUACAGCAAACGUGCACCGUUUACGGCUAGGACUAC